rnacentral:rRNA from 1 species
CGUGGUAUCCUGUCUGAAUAUGGGGGGACCAUCCUCCAAGGCUAAAUACUCCUGACUGACCGAUAGUGAACCAGUACCGUGAGGGAAAGGCGAAAAGAACCCCGGCGAGGGGAGUGAAAAAGAACCUGAAACCGUGUACGUACAAGCAGUGGGAGCACGCUUAGGCGUGUGACUGCGUACCUUUUGUAUAAUGGGUCAGCGACUUAUAUUCUGUAGCAAGGUUAACCGAAUAGGGGAGCCGAAGGGAAACCGAGUCUUAACUGGGCGUUAAGUUGCAGGGUAUAGACCCGAAACCCGGUGAUCUAGCCAUGGGCAGGUUGAAGGUUGGGUAACACUAACUGGAGGACCGAACCGACUAAUGUUGAAAAAUUAGCGGAUGACUUGUGGCUGGGGGUGAAAGGCCAAUCAAACCGGGAGAUAGCUGGUUCUCCCCGAAAGCUAUUUAGGUAGCGCCUCGUGAAUUCAUCUCCGGGGGUAGAGCACUGUUUCGGCAAGGGGGUCAUCCCGACUUACCAACCCGAUGCAAACUGCGAAUACCGGAGAAUGUUAUCACGGGAGACACACGGCGGGUGCUAACGUCCGUCGUGAAGAGGGAAACAACCCAGACCGCCAGCUAAGGUCCCAAAGUCAUGGUUAAGUGGGAAACGAUGUGGGAAGGCCCAGACAGCCAGGAUGUUGGCUUAGAAGCAGCCAUCAUUUAAAGAAAGCGUAAUAGCUCACUGGUCGAGUCGGCCUGCGCGGAAGAUGUAACGGGGCUAAACCAUGCACCGAAGCUGCGGCAGCGACGCUUAUGCGUUGUUGGGUAGGGGAGCGU